rnacentral:lncRNA from 1 species
UAAUUAUACCCCCGCUUUAAAAAAGGGGGGUAUACUGUUUUACCUCUGUCUGUCAGUCCGUCCGUCAGUCCGUCUGUCCAUCAGUCCGUCAGUCCGUCAGUCAGUCCGUCCCACGAAACUUCGUCACAUUUUUCUCAGGAACUACACAUCCACCCUUUCUGUAAUUUGGUAUCAACAUUUAUAUAUGUCAGCCAUACCGUGUGAUGCAUUUUCAGAUUCAUCACUUGACAACUUCCUGUUUACCGAACACUUGUAUGAUUUUACACAUGAUAGCCAAGUUGAAAAUUUUCGUCACAUUUUUCUCAGGAACUACAAUACAAGGAUUUCUGUAAUUUGGUUUCAGGAUUUAUAUAAGUCAGCUAUACCGUGUGAUGCGUUUUCAGAUUCAUCGCUCGACAACUUCCUGUUUACCGAACACUUGUAUGAUUUUACACAUGAUAGCCAAGUUGAAAAUUUUUGUCACAUUUUUCUCAGGAACUACAAUACAAGGAUUUCUGAAAUUUUGUUUCAGGAUUAAUAUAAGUCAGCUAUACCGUGUGAUACGUUUUCAGAUUCAUCACUCAACAACUUCCUGUUUACCGAACACUUGUAUGAUUUUACACAUGAUAGCCAAGUUGAAAAUUUUUGUCACAUUUUUCUCAGGAACUACAAUACAAGGAUUUCUGAAAUUUGGUUUCAGGAUUUAUAUAAGUCAGCUAUACCGUGUGAUGCGUUUUCAGAUUCAUCACUUGACAACUUCCUGUUUACCCAACACUUGCAUAUUUUUACACUAUUAAUAUUAUCCACUUGCGGCGGGG